rnacentral:rRNA from 1 species
UGGGGAAUUUUGGACAAUGGGCGAAAGCCUGAUCCAGCAAUGCCGCGUGCAGGAUGAAGGCCUUCGGGUUGUAAACUGCUUUUGUACGGAACGAAAAAGCUUCUCCUAAUACGAGAGGCCCAUGACGGUACCGUAAGAAUAAGCACCGGCUAACUACGUGCCAGCAGCCGCGGUAAUACGUAGGGUGCGAGCGUUAAUCGGAAUUACUGGGCGUAAAGCGUGCGCAGGCGGUUAUGUAAGACAGAUGUGAAAUCCCCGGGCUCAACCUGGGAACUGCAUUGGUGACUGCAUGGCUAGAGUACGGUAGAGGGGGAUGGAAUUCUGCGUGUAGCAGUGAAAUGCGUAGAUAUGCGGAGGAACACCGAUGGCGAAGGCAAUCCCCUGGACAUGUACUGACGCUCAUGCACGAAAGCGUGGGGAGCAAACA